AGGUUAAGCUGAAGAGGCGGAGCCGCAGCGAAAGCGAGUCUGAAUAGGGCGUUUAGUACGUGGUCGUAGACCCGAAACCAGGUGAUCUACCCAUGUCCAGGGUGAAGUUCAGGUAACACUGAAUGGAGGCCCGAACCCACGCACGUUGAAAAGUGCGGGGAUGAGGUGUGGGUAGCGGAGAAAUUCCAAUCGAACCUGGAGAUAGCUGGUUCUCCCCGAAAUAGCUUUAGGGCUAGCCUUAAGUGUAAGAGUCUUGGAGGUAGAGCACUGAUUGAACUAGGGGUCCUCAUCGGAUUACCGAAUUCAGUCAAACUCCGAAUGCCAAUGACUUAUCCUUAGGAGUCAGACUGCGAGUGAUAAGAUCCGUAGUCAAGAGGGAAACAGCCCAGAUCGCCAGCUAAGGUCCCAAAGUGUGUAUUAAGUGGAAAAGGAUGUGGAGUUGCUUAGACAACUAGGAUGUUGGCUUAGAAGCAGCCACCAUUUAAAGAGUGCGUAAUAGCUCACUAGUCGAGUGACUCUGCGCCGAAAAUGUACCGGGGCUAAAUACACCACCGAAGCUGCGAAUUGAUACCAAUGGUAUCAGUGGUAGGGGAGCGUUCUAAGUGCAGUGAAGUCAGACCGGAAGGACUGGUGGAGCGCUUAGAAGUGAGAAUGCCGGUAUGAGUAGCGAAAGACGGGUGAGAAUCCCGUCCACCGAAUGCCUAAGGUUUCCUGAGGAAGGCUCGUCCGCUCAGGGUUAGUCAGGACCUAAGCCGAGGCCGACAGGCGUAGGCGAUGGACAACAGGUUGAUAUUCCUGUACCACCUCUUUAUCGUUUGAGCAAUGGAGGGACGCAGAAGGAUAGAAGAAGCGUGCGAUUGGUUGUGCACGUCCAAGCAGUUAGGCUGAUAAGUAGGCAAAUCCGCUUAUCGUGAAGGCUGAGCUGUGAUGGGGAAGCUCCUUAUGGAGCGAAGUCUUUGAUUCCCCGCUGCCAAGAAAAGCUUCUAGCGAGAUAAAAGGUGCCUGUACCGCAAACCGACACAGGUAGGCGAGGAGAGAAUCCUAAGGUGUGCGAGAGAACUCUGGUUAAGGAACUCGGCAAAAUGACCCCGUAACUUCGGGAGAAGGGGUGCUUUCUUAACGGAAAGCCGCAGUGAAUAGGCCCAAGCGACUGUUUAGCAAAAACACAGGUCUCUGCGAAGCCGUAAGGCGAAGUAUAGGGGCUGACACCUGCCCGGUGCUGGAAGGUUAAGGAGAGGGGUUAGCGUAAGCGAAGCUCUGAACUGAAGCCCCAGUAAACGGCGGCCGUAACUAUAACGGUCCUAAGGUAGCGAAAUUCCUUGUCGGGUAAGUUCCGACCCGCACGAAAGGUGUAACGAUUUGGGCACUGUCUCAACCAGAGACUCGGUGAAAUUAUAGUACCUGUGAAGAUGCAGGUUACCCGCGACAGGACGGAAAGACCCCGUGGAGCUUUACUGUAGCCUGAUAUUGAAUUUUGGUACAGUUUGUACAGGAUAGGCGGGAGCCAUUGAAACCGGAGCGCUAGCUUCGGUGGAGGCGCUGGUGGGAUACCGCCCUGACUGUAUUGAAAUUCUAACCUACGGGUCUUAUCGACCCGGGAGACAGUGUCAGGUGGGCAGUUUGACUGGGGCGGUCGCCUCCUAAAGUGUAACGGAGGCGCCCAAAGGUUCCCUCAGAAUGGUUGGAAAUCAUUCGUAGAGUGCAAAGGCAUAAGGGAGCUUGACUGCGAGACCUACAAGUCGAGCAGGGACGAAAGUCGGGCUUAGUGAUCCGGUGGUUCCGCAUGGAAGGGCCAUCGCUCAACGGAUAAAAGCUACCCCGGGGAUAACAGGCUUAUCUCCCCCAAGAGUCCACAUCGACGGGGAGGUUUGGCACCUCGAUGUCGGCUCAUCGCAUCCUGGGGCUGUAGUCGGUCCCAAGGGUUGGGCUGUUCGCCCAUUAAAGCGGUACGCGAGCUGGGUUCAGAACGUCGUGAGACAGUUCGGUCCCUAUCCGUCGUGGGCGUAGGAAAUUUGAGAGGAGCUGUCCUUAGUACGAGAGGACCGGGAUGGACGCACCGCUGGUGUACCAGUUGUUCUGCCAAGGGCAUAGCUGGGUAGCUAUGUGCGGAAGGGAUAAGUGCUGAAAGCAUCUAAGCAUGAAGCCCCCCUCAAGAUGAGAUUUCCCAUAGCGUAAGCUAGUAAGAUCCCUGAAAGAUGAUCAGGUUGAUAGGUUCGAGGUGGAAGCAUGGUGACAUGUGGAGCUGACGAAUACUAAUAGAUCGAGGACUUAACCAU
rnacentral:rRNA from 1 species